ACCCUCUCAGCAUGGUAUCUGGAGAUUUUCCAGUACUCUACCAGUCUCUAUUAUGGGAAGGAGAGUCAAGCAGAGGCAUACCCAUUCCAUUCCCAGCUUGGGCACUGGCUAGCGAGUGGAAGGCAAUCUGCUACAAGU